GACGAACGCUGGCGGCGUGCCUAAUACAUGCAAGUAGGACGCAGUUGUGAACGGGGGAGUAACGCGUAGGUAAUUGCCGAUUAGAGGGGGAUAACUAUUGGAAACGAUAGCCAAAACUGCAUACUAGUAGAUGGACCUUCGUUGUAUUAGCUAGUAGGUAGGGUAAUGGCCCAACUAGGUGAGGAUACAUAGCCGAGCUGGGAGGGUGAACGGCCCAAAUGGGACUGAGACACGGGCCAGACUCCUUCGGGGGGCAGCCGGAGGGAAUCUUCGGCAAUGGGGGGAACGCUGACCGAGCAACGCCGCGUGAGGGAAGAAGGUUUUCGGGUCGUAAAGGUCUGUUGUUAAGGAAGCGGUACUUAACCAGAAAGGGACGGCUAACUACGUGCCAGCCGCCGCGGUAAUUC
rnacentral:rRNA from 1 species